rnacentral:rRNA from 1 species
UACAUGGGGUGCAACCGUUGCUCGGAAUUAUUGGGCGUAAAGCGCGUGUCGGCGGCUCUGCAAGUCGGGUGUGAAAUCCCACGGCUCAACCAUGGAAGUGCACUCGAAACUGCAGGGCUAGAGUCCUGGAGAGGAAGGUGGAAUGCUUGGUGUAGAGGUGAAAUUCGUAGAUAUCAAGCGGAACACCGGUGGCGAAGGCGGCCUUCUGGACAGUGACUGACGCUGAGACGCGAAAGCGUGGGGAGCAAACAGG